rnacentral:rRNA from 1 species
GACGAACGCUGGCGGCGUGCUUAACACAUGCAAGUCGAACGGGCCUUGUCCCCUUUUUUUUUGGGGGCGGGGGUAGUGGCGAACGGGGGAGUAAGAGGUGAGUAACCUGCCCCUCACUUCAGGAUAACCGGUUGAAAGGGUGGCUAAUACGGGGUGUUUUGGCCUGCUCGCAUGGGUGGGUUUGGAAAGAUUUGACCGGACUUGGUGGUGUUGGCGGGGGGUGGGCUCGCGGCCUAUCAGAUUGGUGGUGGGGUGGUGGCCUGGCAUGGCUUUGACGGGUGGCCGGCCUGAGAGGGUGGGCGGACACUCUGGGACUGAGACGCGGCACAGACUUCUACGGGGGGCAGCAGUGGGGAAUAUUGCAAUAGGGGCGCAAGUGUGAUGCAGCGACGCCGCGUGAGAGGUGGAGGCCCUCGGGUUGAGAACCUCUUUCGCCAGAGAAGAAGGUCCUGCUCUUUGUGGUGGGGUUGACGGGAGAUGGGUUAAGGAAGCGCCGGCUAACUACGUG